rnacentral:sRNA from 1 species
GAAAAAUGAAAAUGCUAGAGUUUUGUGCAACACAAUAGUAGCAGUAAAAACCAAGUGAAAAGUCUUUCCAAAACUGUGUUAAGAGGGCAUCUGCUGGGAAAGGAUUUGAGGAGAAGGUACUAAAUUGCUUGGUAUUUUCCGUAGGAACGCCAGAGCGAAAUACAGUUUGCAAAAGAUGUCCAGAUGGAUUCUUCUCAAAUGAGACGUCAUCUAAAGCACCCUGUAGAAAACACGCAAAUUGCAGUGUCUUUGGUCUCCUGCUAACUCAGAAAGGAAAUGCAACACACGACAAUAUAUGUUCCGGAAACAGUGAAUCAACUCAAAAAUGUGGAAUAGAUGUUACCCUGUGUGAGGAGGCAUUCUUCAGGUUUGCUGUUCCUACAAAGUUUACGCCUAACUGGCUUAGUGUCUUGGUAGACAAUUUGCCUGGCACCAAAGUAAACGCAGAGAGUGUAGAGAGGAUAAAACGGCAACACAGCUCACAAGAACAGACUUUCCAGCUGCUGAAGUUAUGGAAACAUCAAAACAAAGACCAAGAUAUAGUCAAGAAGAUCAUCCAAGAUAUUGACCUCUGUGAAAACAGCGUGCAGCGGCACAUUGGACAUGCUAACCUCACCUUCGAGCAGCUUCGUAGCUUGAUGGAAAGCUUACCGGGAAAGAAAGUGGGAGCAGAAGACAUUGAAAAGACAACAAAGGCAUGCAAACCAAGUGACCAGAUCCUGAAGCUGCUCAGUUUGUGGAGAAUAAAAAAUGGCGACCAAGACACCUUGAAGGGCCUAAUGCACGCACUAAAGCACUCGAAGACGUAUCACUUUCCCAAAACUGUCACUCAGAGUCUAAAGAAGACCA